GGUGGAUCGGGGGACGUCGGGGUCGGCGUCGGAGGGGAGGAAGUCGGGGAGGGAGAGGGGGGAGACGGCGCGGAUGAAGGGUACGCCGGCAUCAUUGCAGGAGAUGUGGAUGGAGGCAUCAGGGAGGGUGGUGAGGCGGCCGGCAAGGGCAGGGAAAUGGGAGAGAGCGCGGGAGAGGGAGCGGGUGAGGAGGGAGAGAAGAGGGUGGAGCGGGAGUGGGGGAGGCGGCAAGAAGAGGCCCUUUUGGAUGUAGUGACACGAAAGCAUGGGGAGGUCGGAGACAGAGAGUCGGAGGGGACCGAUGGUCGAGGAGGAGUCGGGGUAGACAGUGUGUGUGGAGAUGAUGGUGG
rnacentral:misc_RNA from 1 species